CCACGAAGGUGGUUUUCCCAGCGCAAGCAAGGCUUAUCCAUUGCACUCCAGAUGUGCUGACCCCUGCAAUUUCCCCAAAUCUGGGAAACUCGAAGGCAUAAUUUGUGGUAGUGGGGGGACUGCAUUCGAGAUCUCCCCUG
rnacentral:snRNA from 1 species